CCCCACGCUUACGCGUGGGGCUACAUUCUUCCGCCGCUCCGCGGCU
rnacentral:sRNA from 1 species